rnacentral:rRNA from 1 species
UUAAAUUUUUGAAGUUAUUUUAGCUUUUUUGUUGGGUGAAAUCAGUAUAAAGAGUUUCUCUUUCUUUUAAAAUUAAUAGGAAUUAAAAAACUUUGAUUUUAAACCAGGAUUAGAUACCCUGUUAUUCUAAGUUAUAUUUAGACAGGGUAGUAAAAGUUGUUCUUCAAACCCAAAGAUUUUGGCGGCACUUUAUCCAAAUAGAGGAGCUUGUCCCUUAAUCGAUAGUCCCCGUUUUAUCUUUCCUCUGUUUGUAAAGCUUGUAUACCGCCGUUGUCAGAUUACUUUUAGAGAAUGUUUUCAAGUUAAAAGACUUUUUUACUUCAGGUCAAGGUGCAGUUUAUAUAGAGGUGGAGGUGAGCUACAAUUUUCUUUAGAAAUACGGAUUUCAAGCCUUGAAGUUGGUUGAAGGUGGAUUUAUUAGUAAAGUAA